rnacentral:rRNA from 1 species
CCUACGGGUGGCAGCAGUGGGGAAUAUUGCACAAUGGGGGAAACCCUGAUGCAGCGACGCCGCGUGAGUGAAGAAGUAUUUCGGUAUGUAACGCUCUAUCAGCAGGGAAGAAAAUGACGGUAACUGAUUAAUAAGCCCCUGCUAACUACGUGCCAGCAGCCGCGGUAAUCCGUAGGGGGCAAACGUUAUCCGGCUUUACUGGGUUGAAAGGGACCGUAGACGGCAGCACAAGUCUGGAGUGAAAUGCAGGGGGUUAACCCCGGAACUGCUUUGGAAACUGUGCAGAUAGAGUGCAGGAGAGGUAAGUGGAAUUCCUAGUGUAGCGGUGAAAUGCGUAGAUAUUAGGAGGAACACCAGUGGCGAAGGCGGCUUACUGGACUGUAACUGACGUUGAGGCUCGAAAGCGUGGGGAGCAAACAGGAUUAGAUACCCGGGUAGUC